rnacentral:rRNA from 1 species
UACGUAGGGGGCGAGCGUUGUCCGGAUUUAUUGGGCGUAAAGAGCUCGUAGGCGGUUCGAUAAGUCGGACGUGAAAUCUCCACGCUCAACGUGGAGGGGCCGUUCGAUACUGUCGCGACUCGAGUCCGGUAGGGGAGUGUGGAAUUCCCGGUGUAGCGGUGAAAUGCGCAGAGAUCGGGAGGAACACCCGUAGCGAAGGCGGCACUCUGGGCCGGUACUGACGCUGAGGAGCGAAAGCGUGGGGAGCAAACAGG